rnacentral:rRNA from 1 species
UAUUAAAGUUGUUGCAGUUAAAAAGCUCGUAGUUGAACUUUGGGCCCGGUUGGCCGGUCCGAUUUUUUCGUGUACUGGAUUUCCAACGGGGCCUUUCCUUCUGGCUAACCUUGAGUCCUUGUGGCUCUUGGCGAACCAGGACUUUUACUUUGAAAAAAUUAGAGUGUUCAAAGCAGGCCUUUGCUCGAAUACAUUAGCAUGGAAUAAUAGAAUAGGACG